AUGACCCCUGAUGGAUGCCUGUUUGCUAUGGUAGGGAGGAAGGGUGGCAUAGGCUUGAGACAGAGUAGGUGGGAGUGGAGAGGAGUAGGCAGGAUACAGAGAGUACCUCUGGAGGGAGCACACUAGGAGGGGAUCCCCUGGGGCACAGGGGAAAUGGGCAGGUGGACUGUGGAUUAUGUUUGUGUAGUGGGGGGUGUCCAAAAAGGCUUCUUAAAUGAAGUCAAAAUUGAGUAAGGCCUUGAUGGGCAGGGUAUUGUCUCCUUGGGGUGAAUGGAGUCAUCAGCAGGCUUGGAAUCCAAGUAAGGAUGACUAACAGAAAGCCUGAGGGAGGGGGCUGGAAACCACGAUUCGACUUUGGGGACUCCCAGCAGUGCCUUUGGCCUUGACCUGCCAGCAGCAGCUCUUUCUUCCUCAGACCCUACCCCAUUUCCAACUCUACUCCCUGGGCACUUGACUGAGCUCAGUGACUGCAGGAAUACUGGGGUAGACUGGGAUACUGCUCCCUUUGACAGAACUGGGGGAAUUGAAACAUCCCCACACGAUCUCCCUUCAUCCUCCCUCCAGGGAAAACUGGCUCAACGUCCAAGGCUCUUGGGCACCAGUAGUGCCCUGUUUUGGGUUAUCAGAACCUCAUCCCCAUCUCCAGCUACAUCAGUCAUUAAGGUCAAACUCCUCCCCUCCCCAGCUGUUUGCAGAGGGGUCCCUGGCUGUGCUGGCAGGACUUCGGUGUCCAGGGUAGACCUCCCCUCUGAUGAGGAGGUCCUAGAAUCCCGAGGGGUCCCAGGCCUCAGCCCUGCACAGGCACCAGCAUGAUACAGGGUGCUGGGCCACUGGGGACCCUCCACAGAUUUAUUUUUAUAUACAGAGCUUGUUCAUUGGACAGAGGGAGGUCACCUGCAACCCAUAUUGCUGUCACCCACCCAGGGAGGGAGGGAGGGACUGGUUGUGGGUAGAGGCUCCUUUGCGAAACUCUGGAGAUGUGUUUAUAUUUCUGGGUUCUAUAUGCAGUACCAAGUAAUAAACACUUGUGUGUUAUGGUC
rnacentral:lncRNA from 1 species